GGUCAUGACCUCUGAUUAUUGGAGAUGUCCCCCGCUCUGGACUAGCUCUGCCCGGGGCCAGCUUUCUGCUGGAAGGCUGGGCCUUACGGACCCCGGCGUGUCUCCUAAUCCCUUGAUUCUAAAGCGAUCACUGUGGCCAAAAUGCCCCGGAGAGCAAACGUAAUGAGAAAGGAGGCUUUGAACAAAAUUGCUACCAAGAGAUCAAGCGAACUCAGUUUGGGAGGUUUUCUAGUGGCGGGCGGCAGGCGGCUUACCUCCGAUGAUGAAAGCGGCCGGGGCCCCAGCCAGCACCUCGGGUCUGGGCCGUAAAUCCCGGCUUCUGUCGUUUGCAUUCAUUCUUGUAAAACCUCAGCCUCAGAAGGACAGCGGGAACCACAAUAGCUCGGCGAGGAUGUGAGCAAUGAUAUUAGGGAUGAAAAGGAUACAGUCCCGGUCUGUGAGGGACCGGGGUGGGCAGGGAACAGAAUGCCCGGAAUACAAAAGCGUCAGCAGAGCUCGGGGCCAGGCGCAGACGUGUGAUGGGAGAGACCACAUCCCAUUGCACCGAGACAUCUUAAUCCGAGCUCAUUUCUCUCCUGCAGACUAGAGCCUGGACCGUGCCCCACACGUGUCCUGGGUCUCCCUGGCGCCUCUGACCUGCGGCCCCUUCCAGACGGCUGGAGACUUCUCCCCCAGGGACACCUGCGGGUGUGAACAGUCCAUUUCAGGUCUCGACGGCUUUCGGGGUCCCUGGCUGCUCCUGGGGAGUUGCUCUGCCUUCUGCCUCGGUCGUCCGGCCUGCGCCGGCUGGGAGCCUCUGCAAAGCUAAGUUACCCGCCUUUUGUUGCGACGCGGGCCCCGGAGGACUGAAAUCAAACGCGUGGCUUCUGUGGAGGGAGAGGGAGAGAGGCGGCUAAUGAGCGGCUGUGCACAUCCCAAGUCCUGGGGGUUAAUUCCCAAAGAGCCGGAUCAGAAACAUGCCUAAAAGCCCAGUUUGAUAAAUUUCCAGGACGCCAACCCCGAGUGGAGCUAGGAGAGCUUGAAAGGAGGCGAGGUGAUUGAUGUGUUCCUCUUUGUUUUCACUGCAGCUGUGGCUGGGACGCGGCCGGGAUGUG